rnacentral:rRNA from 1 species
GAUGAACGCUGGCGGCGUGCCUAAUACAUGCAAGUCGAGCGCAGCGGGGACGGGUGCGUAACACGUGGAUAACCUCCUUUAAGUCUGCGAUAACUUCGGGAAACCGGUGCUAAACCUGCUACUUAUCGAUGGAUCCUCGGUGCAUUAGCUCGUUGGUCAGGUAACGGCUUACCAAGGCAACGAUGCAUAGCCGACCUGAGAGGGUGAUCGGCCACACUGGAACUGAGACACGGUCCAGACUCCUACGGGAGGCAGCAGUAGGGAAUCUUCCGCAAUGGGCGAAAGCCUGACGGAGCAACGCCGCGUGAGUGAAGAAGGUCUUCGGAUCGUAAAACUCUGUUAUUAGGGAAGCGGUACCUAAUCAGAAAGCCACGGCUAACUACGUGCCAGCAGCCGCGGUAAUUC